GAAUCUCACAACAUAUGUUUGGAUAGCACUUCCCAGCCUACAACGCACUUUCUCAGGGAUUCUCAAACUUCCUCCCACCUCACAUCCUUUUAAGGCAAGUGAGUGUGGGAACUCUGGUUCAGGGAAGUUAAAUCACUUGCCUAAGGUCAUGCAGAUCAUUAAUGCCAUAGCCAAGACCUGAGCACGUUCUCCUAAAGCCAGGUCAGGCCUCUUGUCACAUACUCCAUUGACUCUAGUGCCUAACCCAUGCUCAUCACAGAGCUCACAUUGGAACCAUUGUUAAACAGACUCUAAUGGAAAUGACUUCGUUCAGCUGGUGAACAUUUUGGAAGAUUCCAGAAAAACAUGAACAAGUGUUUGAGUGCUCUUAAGGGGAUUGUCUAAUAUCUUGGCUCCUGACUCAUCCUUAGAAGUCUUCCAGCCACCUUGUACCCAUUUCAAGCCCAAGGGCUCUUUAACGUAAAUGAGUUACUGAGCAGAAAAGAACAGAGAAAGAUCCAGUGCAAAAACUCAUAGGAAAUGAUCAAUUCAUGCCAAGUGAUGAGAACUAGAGAAGAGAGAUGAGAGCAUUGUUCAUACACGAUGGUCUAGGUCUCCUACCCCAAGAGAACUUGCAACAAAGCCCAAAGUACAACAGCCACGUUUAAAGAGAAGAUUCCAUUUCAGCCAGACAACAUGAUUCAUCAUAUUUAUUUAAUAUUGUUAAUUUGAAUUUUAUUAGAUCUGUACUGAUGUUUGUAUUUAAUUUCUAAUUUGUUUUGGUUUCAUAAUUCACUAAAACAAUAAGCACAAAGAGUUUCUAUCUGAC
rnacentral:lncRNA from 1 species